GAAAAAACAUGGAAAAAUCGUUCACUCUCAUUCACAUGGUUGCCACCGCCGUUUCUUGCUGGUACGGAUUCAUGUUCGGCAGAGAAUCAGCUCGUAAAGAACUUGGAGACUUGAUCGAAAGUCUUCGCCGUGAUAAUUCAAACUCCUCUUCUUCGUCAUCUCCUCCGCACUCUUGAUCGCUAUAUUGAAUCCUCGGGGCCAAGGAGCUGUGACUGAACAACUUUUCUCAAGGCUUGGGACUUGGCACAACUUUAAGGAGGUAUAUCAGAAACGGGGUUCAGAAUGCUCCUCGGAGACCUCUCCGACUGUAUUUCAUGUCUUGUGGGUUCUCUCUAGACAAUUUUUGUAAUGUUUUGAUAUAUUUGGUUCAUUUUAUCAAACCUUUCUACUAUGGGUGA